CUGGGCAAGACCGGUGCCAGCCGCCGCGGUAAUACCGGCAGCACAAGUGAUGACCGCUAUUAUUGGGCUAAAGCGUCCGUAGCUGGCCUCACAAGUCCAUCGGGAAAUCCGCGCGCUCAACGCGCGGGCGUCCGGUGGAAACUGUGUGGCUUGGGACCGGAAGAUCCAGAGGGUACGUCCGGGGUAGGAGUGAAAUCCCGUAAUCCUGGACGGACCACCGGUGGCGAAAGCGCUCUGGAAAGACGGAUCCGACGGUGAGGGACGAAAGCUUGGGUCACGAACCGGAUUAGAUACCCGGGUAGUCCAAGCUGUAAACGAUGUCUGCUAGGUGUGACACAGGCUACGAGCCUGUGUUGUGCCGUAGGGAAGCCGUGAAGCAGACCGCCUGGGAAGUACGUCCGCAAGGAUGAAACUUAAAGGAAUUGGCGGGGGAGCACUACAACCGGAGGAGCCUGCGGUUUAAUUGGACUCAACGCCGGACAUCUCACCAGCAUCGACAAUGUGCAGUGAAGGUCAGUGUGAUGAGCUUACCGGAGCCAUUGAGAGGAGGUGCAUGGCCGCCGUCAGCUC
rnacentral:rRNA from 1 species